ACCGCCUGGGGAGUACGGCCGCAAGGUUAAAACUCAAAUGAAUUGACGGGGGCCCGCACAAGCGGUGGAGCAUGUGGUUUAAUUCGAUGCAACGCGAAGAACCUUACCUACUCUUGACAUCCAGAGAACUUUCCAGAGAUGGAUUGGUGCCUUCGGGAACUCUGAGACAGGUGCUGCAUGGCUGUCGUCAGCUCGUGUUGUGAAAUGUUGGGUUAAGUCCCGCAACGAGCGCAACCCUUAUCCUUUGUUGCCAGCGGUUCGGNCGGGAACUCAAAGGAGACUGCCNGUGAUAAACNGGAGGAAGGUGGGGAUGACGUCAAGUCAUCAUGGCCCUUACGAGUAGGGCUACACACGUGCUACAAUGGCGUAUACAAAGAGAAGCGACCUCGCGAGAGCAAGCGGACCUCAUAAAGUACGUCGUAGUCCGGAUUGGAGUCUGCAACUCGACUCCAUGAAGUCGGAAUCGCUAGUAAUCGUAGAUCAGAAUGCUACGGUGAAUACGUUCCCGGGCCUUGUACACACCGCCCGUCACACCAUGGGAGUGGGUUGCAAAAGAAGUAGGUAGCUUAACCUUCGGGAGGGCGC
rnacentral:rRNA from 1 species